CCUCCGACAAAGGCAAAUACAAACACAAAACAUCAAUACAUUUUAUUUAUGUAAAACACCGUUUUGACACACUAUUAGUUGAAACAAGCUUCUACAGGGCGAGGAUAAAUGAGAUUUUUACCUUUACAUACUUUGAAUGAUGAUACACUGUAUUGCACAAAAAAUAACUGUUUCAAUGAAAAACAACACUGACCGUGUUAAAGCAAAACAAACAACUGCCAUGGCAA
rnacentral:lncRNA from 1 species